rnacentral:tRNA from 1 species
UGACAUUCUACUUAAACUACUUCUUG